rnacentral:misc_RNA from 1 species
AAAGUCGUAACAAGGUCUCCGUUGGUGAACCAGCGGAGGGAUCAUUAUAGAGUCUAAAAAACUCCCAAACCCAUGUGGACAUACCUCAAGUUGCCUCGGCAGGUCGCGCCUACCUGGUAAGAUCUUACCCUGUAAGAUCUACCCUGUAAGCGCGGGUAAGCCUGCCAGUGGACCAACAAACUCUGUUUAUUUUUGAAUUCUGAAUCUAUAACUAAAUAAGUUAAAACUUUCAACAACGGAUCUCUUGGUUCUG